rnacentral:rRNA from 1 species
UACGAAGGGUGCAAGCGUUACUCGGAAUUACUGGGCGUAAAGCGUGCGUAGGUGGUUUGUUAAGUCUGAUGUGAAAGCCCUGGGCUCAACCCGGGAAUUGCAUUGGAUACUGGCAGGCUAGAGUGCGGUAGAGGAUGGCGGAAUUCCCGGUGUAGCAGUGAAAUGCGUAGAGAUCGGGAGGAACAUCUGUGGCGAAGGCGGCCAUCUGGACCAGCACUGACACUGAGGCACGAAAGCGUGGGGAGCAAACAGG